AAAAAAAUUUGCCCUGAUUUUUUCCAAAAUUUCCCACCUAAAACCCAAAAACGAAAAAACCCCAAAUUUCCCCCUAAAAUGGAGGCACCAAGACGAUUCAUCUUCUUUGAUGAGAGUAGCAGUGUGAGGAAUAUUGAAUUUUGGUGAGAGUAAGAGAAGUGGGAAUGGGAAUUUGUUCACAGGAAACUCUCCGUUCACCGUGGAGAACAAGAAAAGGUCGCCUAAUUCAAGAGGGAGCAACAGCUAUGCUUUUGUUUACUUCAGGUGUAAUUUUACCUUCAUCUGGUGUAGUGAAGAGCCUGAAAAGAGGCCUCGAAAAUGGGGGAGAAAACCGGCUAACGGAAGAGAAGAGCCUCUAAAUCAUGUUGAAGCGAAGCGUCAAAGAAGGGAGAAGCUUAACCAGAAGCUUUUUGGUGUCUGUGACCCAGUAUUUAUUUUCUUGGAUGAUUGAUUUUUAUUUUGCAGGUGUGAUUGUGUUCUAUAAAUUGGCCGUGGUUGAGGGAAUGAGCAUGAGAGCACUCAUUGCUUACAGAUUCAUCUUCGCCACUGCUUGUUUUGAUACCAGAAUAAUUCAAGAACUUAAUCUUUGGUCAGCCAACAUAAACAUAGUCAAACAUGGUGGACACCAUCAUACUAGCACCAAACAUGCUGCUGUUGGCGAUCAAGUCUUAGGCUCCUUGUUGGCUUUAGCUUCUUGCCUAGCUAUACGUGAGAGAAAGCCUCCAUUGAAAAGACUCCUGACAAUGUUUUUGGGGUACCAUGUCAUCAAAACUUGAACAGACACACACAAGAAAAAGGUAAGGAAUUUGGAGGAAAGACAUGCAAAUCUUGUCAUGGACUUGGUAAGAAUCUUUGGGGAUUGAAUUUCAUAGUAAUUUGUAAUUUUCUUAAUGUUAUGAUCAUCCAAUAGUUGAAUGAAAUGUAGGGUAAAUUAAAGGCUUCAUCAUUUUAUCUUCCUUUUCUACCUUGUUUUAAGAUUCUUUGUUGCACUUAACGGCAUGAAACCUUGCAUUAGUAGCUGUAAUUGUUCAUGGGUUAGAAAGACAAGUGCCAAAAUAGGAUUUGAGAAGUUUUAAACUAUGAUGCAAAUAUGAUUAGGUUUGCAUAUAAAUAGCAUUCAGAUAGGCUUCAGAAGAACAAAUAGCAAAAGUCUUAACAAGGUUGCAAUGUCUCUGCUGAUUGUUCUGUGGUGGAUUAUAUGAUAGGAAGUUGACGACAGCUGCAUAUGUUUAAUAUUUGAAUACUCCUUUUUUCAUCGAAGAUGUUAGUAUCUUGAUUUCUGUUUUCUUUUUCUAAUAUUUCAUUGUUAUCUAUUACAGGAUAAGAUGCAAUGAGUUGCAUAGAAGAGGCUUUUAGCUUUUGAGAAGUAAAACGCACAGCAUUUCUUCCCCACCCCCUUUUUUAUGAUUUAAAUUUCAGCCAUGGUAGAAGGUUCAUCGAAUUGGGCACUACCACUCUAGGAAUUUACUAUUUUUUAAUUAAGAAAAUAUGAUCUCUUGAUUUAUGGUACAAGAAAUGGUUUCUUAAUUUUAAUUUCAUUGAUUUUGGAUAUUGACAUUUUUGGUUCUAAUGAGUAUAAAUAUCAUAUGAACUGGAAUAAGUUGAGCAGUUACGUGGACUGCCAUCAAUAUGCCCAACUCCAAUAUGCCAUCAAUAUUGUUUUUCGUGUUCCAAUGUUUGGAAGCCGAGUAUUGGAUUAUAGCUUGACUUUUAUAAAUUAUAUGACAAAAUAAUGUUUCUGGUGCAUAUUUUGGAUCUCAAGCACUUUGGUGUGAAGUGCAUUCAUACAAUAAGAUUUCAGUUUAAAUCCGAAUGCAAUUGUUUAUUAUUGUUAACGGAUAUGUCUUGUUUUUCCGUGAACAGCAUGGGAGCUUUUCUUCUUAGUGUGGGAACUAAAGGAAAACGGUAUAGUUUACCUAAUUCACGGGUAAUGAUACAUCAGCCUCUUGGUGGAGCUGAAGGAGGUCAAACUGAUAUUGAUAUUCAGCUGCUGUAGUUAUGCAAAGAGAAUGGGGCCUGCCAAUAAUAAUGAGCAUGUAGGCACUAAAUCUGCAGUUCAAAUUCGAAGCCAUGCUCAAAAGUUUUUCUCUAAGUCUCAUUGCUUUGAGUUCAUUACAAGAUUUCCUUGAUUAAGUAGAUGUGUUAUAUCUUUUAUUACCAAGGUUUACUUGAUUAAGAAAAUGCAUUGUAUUUUUUAUUACCUUGCAAUGUGUAUAGUCAUAGGCAGGUUCAACUAGUUAGUCUAUUUCUCAUAUGUAUUAUUUAUUUUAGUUUUGAUUCUAAAUUUUUAUUUUUACUUUAAUAUUUAGGACAACUUGAGUUCUAA